rnacentral:lncRNA from 1 species
CUACACAAAACCCCCCAAAUAUUGAUAGUGAAAUUAGUAAGUCUCCCAAUACAAAAUUUACAAAAUUAAAGAAAUUUUACUACUCAUUCUUUAAUAUUAUUCUUUUCCAUAAAACAGGGUUUAUUCCGAAAAAAUCUAAAGCCGGAAUUUAUACAAGGCUAAAAACUUAUCGGAUUAGGUAUAAAUUUAUUGGUCUGAUACCUUAACUUGUACUAUAUAUUUCUACUUUUGUCAUUCUCCGCCCAAAAGACAUAUUUUCGUGUUAAAACAAAAAUCGCAUUUUCAUGAGAUUGGGCAUAAUAGGAAAUUAUAAGUUGGACCAAACCCAUAACUCUAAAAAAGUAAAUGAGUCAAUUCGAUGGAGCCAAACCUUUUCAGUUUGUAUUAUUUAAAGAUCUAAUGACACAAAACAGAGAAAAGAGUAGCCAUAAGUAAAAAUAACGUACGUUGAGCUGAGUGCUGUAACGACUGAUGAGAUCGUUGGCAUAUUGUUCGGGAGUGAACUGUCUGCUAGAAGAGUAAAAAUUAGGCAUGAAGUAGUUGUUGAGGUAAUCGUUGCUUCCUAAACCAACAGAGUAGAUACAUCUCUUGAGGUAAUCAGCUGCACUAGCCUCGUCUCCUAGCAGCUGUACGACUUGUGAUACCGUGUUCUGGUAGUUCCUAACUUGCCCACUAAAGCUUAUCCUUUGUCC